UCACACCUGUUCUCAUUUCGAACACAGCAGUUAAGUCCUCCAGCGCCGAUUGUACUGCAGGGGCAGCCUUGUGGGAGAGUAGGUCACUGCCAGAA
rnacentral:rRNA from 1 species